UUUUAUUAUUAUUAAGUAUUCUGUUGAUUUCUUGUUUUUAAUUACUGAAAAACAUACUGCCUCACUCAAAUUAUUAUACAAAUGGAAGAAAGGCAUGAGUCUGGAUUUCAAGGCUCGAAUUGACAGUCACUCGACUGUUCUGAUUUUUUUAAAGUCAAAAAAAUUACAUUUGUUGUUUUCAAUAAUGAUUUAAUUUACCAGUUAGGUAUUACCAGUAUAUAUUUUAAUGUAAAUUAAUCUAUUCAACAGCUGCCGCUCAUUCCUGGUAAUGUUGUCCUUGAGCGAAAGAUGUUGAAAAGUUCUCCGAUAACCAGAUGAUAUUGAAGACUUUGUAUGGGAAUGGUUAACAAUGCAUUUGGAGACAGAUACAUGGUAGCAGAUACAUUUAUACAACUCUUCCCAGAAGAUGCAGAUGAUAGCUGCGAUGAUCUCAAGAAAAAUAAAACACGGGUUGGAUUUUCUCUUGUGCAUCGACGUGGUACAUCCACCAGUUACACCAAAUGAGUUACAAAAUAGAAAUCCGAAGCAAGACAUGGCAAAAAGAUCGAAUUUUGCUCAUGGAGUUAUACCAAGAAAGAAGAUCUUUCAUAGGAAGUAUGUUUGAUCGUUCCAUUGAUUGCAUUUUGUAUUAAUUAUUUCGUUGUUGAUUGUGAAUGCAGCAAGUUACGACUAAAGUGUUUCCCAAUACUGUAUUUAAAAUGUAAAUAAGCUUUCCUCUUUGCCAAUAAAUCAUCAGCCAUAACAAUAAAUAUAGGUUGAAUAGAUAUCAACGUAUGCUGGAGAAAAUGUAAACAUCCAAAUACCAUAUUUAUAGAAUUAUGUUGCCGACAUCUGCCUACUAUUUAUUCUUGCAAAAUGUGAUAUUUAGAUAGGGUUGGUGUCAUUGGUUUAGAGCAUACAGUUUCAAUGUUGUUUUCGUUUGGAAUGACAUCACAACGAAGGGAAUCAUUUUUUUCUAACAAUGUCAAUAACUAACCAUCUCUUUAUGUUUCAGUCCAAAUCCUUGCGACAGUCCGUUUACAAAUGAUUGUGGGGCAAGAGCUUUGUGUUUGGAUAUGUCAGCAAUCAAACAUAUACUUGUGAAUGUAAAGCUGGAUUAUUGAUCAAUCUCCUAGUGUUGAAUUACCAGGAAGAUGCUGUGGCCUUAAAUUGAGAGAAUCCGGACUGCAGAUCGUCUACAUCUUGAUCAUCUUAGCUUGCCUAAUGUUAAUCGUGAUAUUUGCUCUCAUUUAUGCUGCAUACCUGAAAUUUGCAAAACAAGGGAAUUAUAACCCCCCUAAAGAUGACGAUUUGCAACAACAAGUACAAGUCUAAAGAAAUAUCCAAUUGUCAAGUUAAAAUUUAGUUUGAGAAAAUAAAUAAAUCUUGUUAUUUUCUUUUGUUCCAACAAUUUGCAGUGCCGAAUAUUUUAUCAAAUGAUUAUUAAAUAUUGCCAUUUUAAAGUGCACUUAUCAAUCAAUAAUUGUCAAAUUUCAAUGCAGCCAUAUUCUAUUAUUUUAAGAUAGAAUUUUAUAUAAAAUAUAGUCAUGCUCAUAUUAAACUGGGAAAUAAAUAACAAAUUAAUAAAAA